UCUGCCUCCCAAGUGCUGGGAUUAAAGGCAUGCGCCACCAUGCCCAGCUAUACUGGUCUCUUCUUUUUUUUUAAAGAUUUAUUUAUUUAUUAUAUGUAAGUACACUGUAGCUGUCUUCAGACGCACCAGAAGAGGGCAUCAGAUCUCUGUUACAGGUGGUUGUGAGCCACCAUGUGGUUGCUGGGAUUUGAACUUUGGACCUUUGGAAGAGCAGUCAGGUGCUCUUACCCCCUGAGCCAUCUCACCAGCCCCCACUGGUCUCUUCUUAAUCACCACUAAUUUCUUAGCUCCAGCUAACCAGCAUCAAUAGUCCCAGUAAUGCAAAGUUUUUGCUUUAUUGGUUCUGAUAUAUUGUUAAACACAGCUGAUUCUUCAGCCCCAGCUAACCAUAACCACAGAAUCUUCACAAUCAAAACAUGGUCCUGAUAACAGUCUUUAAUAUUCCCUCUGAAAUUUCACAAGCCAGGCCUCCAUCAUCUGCACUGUUCUCAACAUUAUCUUCCAGGCUCCUGUACAGCAUCCCACAGAGCUCUUAACACUGAAUGGAUCUUCUAGCCCAAAGUUCCAAAGUCUUUCCCCAAACAUGGUCAGGUUGUCAUAGGAAUACCCCACUCCUGGUACCAAUUUGUCAUUUUUGUUGUGCUUUUUUUUUUUAACUAUUUUAAAAAUGAUUUAAUGUUUAUGGGUGUUUUGUCUGCAUGUACAUCUGUAUCACAUGCAUACUGGUGCCUGAGGAGGCUCUAGAAGGGUGCAUUGCAUCCCCUGGCAUUGUAAUUACAGAUAGCUGUAAACUGUAAGCUAUCUGGGUGUUGGGAAUCAAACCUGGGCCCUAGAAGGGCAGCAAGUUAUUACUUUUUAAAAUUUAUUUAUUCCUUUCUCAUAUAUUACAUCCAAACCUGUUUUCCCUCCCUUUAUACCUCCUAUUCCCUCUGCCCACAAACUCCCCUCUCCCCCAGAUCCACUCCUCCUCUGUUUCCCUUCAAAAAAGAACAAUCCUUCUAGGAUAUCAGCUGAAAAAGGCAGAACAAGUUACAGUAAGACUAGACACAGACCCUCAUAUCAAGGCUGGAUGAGACAACCCAGCAGGAAGAAAGGAUCCCAAGAGUCGAUACAACAGUCAGAGGCAAUCCCCCACUCCCACUGUCAGGAGUCCCACAAGAACUAAGCUGUACAACCAUACAACAUAUGCAGAGGAUCCAGCUCAGACCUACACAUGCUCUGUGAUUGUCAUUUCAGUGUCUGUGAGCCCUGCUUAGUGGAUUCUGUGGGUUUAACACAGCCCACAGGGUCCUCAACCCUUCUUCUCUGACUCCUACAAUCCUUUCUCCCCUCUUCCACGAAGUUCCCCAAUUCUGCCUAAUAUCUGCAGUCAGUACUCUUAACCUGUGAAGUGCCUCUCUGGUUCCUUUACCUUUUCUGGUUGGUUGGUUUUUGGAUUUUUUUUCAGACAUGCUCUCACUAUCUGGCCCUAGCUGUUCUGGAGCUCAGUAUGUAGACCAGGUUGGCCUCUGCCGCAAAUAUCUGGCUGCCUCUGCAUUCCCAGGCUGGAAUUAAAGAUGGUUUGCCUCCAUACCUGGCUCUUUCAUUUAACUUUUUUUUUUUUUUUUUAAUGGAUUUUCAAGACAGGGUUUCUCUGAGUAGCAGAGCUCUGUGACCACAUGACUUCCAAAUUACAGAGAUCCUCCUGCCUCUACAUCCUGAGUGCCAGGAUUAAAGGCUUGUGCUGCCACAACCAGCCCUAACUUCUUAAACAGCCAACAUUAGAUUAACAGAUGUUACAUUUCCUUCUUUAACAGUGAGGUCACCUGAGCAUUCCUCAACUCUUUCUAAGUUUUGUUUAUGACUCUAUUUUACUUAAAAUUUUUAGCUGCCUUUUCUAGAUGCUCUGAAGGAAAAAGCUGCCUGAUAUACCUAUCUGAUGGCUUCUUGGGACACCCUUACAGAUGGUUGAUGUCAAAUGGCCUAUUCCUAGUUUGUAGGUAUUUCAGGGUCUUUUUUUUUAAUGACUUUUUAAAAAAAAUUAUUUAUUUUAUGUACACUGUAGCUGUCUUCAGACACACCAGAAGAGGACAUCAGAUCCCAUUACAUGGUUGUGAGCUACCAUGUGGUUGCUGGGAAUUGAACUCAGCGCCUCUGGAAGAACAGUCAGUUCUCUUAACCACUGAACCAUCUCUUUAGCCCCCUUUCUUUUUUAUAGUUACUAUUUUUAUGUGUAUGGGUGUUUUGCCUGCAUGUGUAUGUACCGUGCAUGUACAGUGGUCAUGGAGGCCAAAGGAGGUCAGCAGAUCCUAGAACUGGAGUUAGAGAUGGUUGUGAGCCAUUGCAUUAUGUGGGUGCUUGGAUUAUAGUCAGCUCCUCCGGAAGAGCAGCAGUGCUCUUUCCUGCUGAGCUGUCUCCUCAGCCCUGUGUUUUUCUAGUUAAACUUCAUCAGUAAGAUACUAAUAUUUUACCCAAAGAUCAAAAAACUUGCUGGGUGGUGGUGGCACACACCUCUGUGCGUGUGUGCACAUGGGUGCUUUUGUUGGUUAUGUUUUUCAACACAGGGUUUCUUGUAUAGCCUUGACUGUCGUGGAACUUGAUCUGUAGAUCAGACUGGCCUCAAACUCACUAGAGAGCUGCCUGUUUCUGCCAGCUGAGGACUGGAAUUCAAGGCAGGAGCCACCAUGGCCCAGCUGUCACCGCCUUUAAUCCCAGUACUGAAGAGGCAGAGGGAUCUGUGAAUUCGGGGCCACUCUAGUCUAUAGAGUUGGAUCCCAGAAAGAACAGCCAGGGCUACAAGAAAAAUCCUGUCUCGAAAACC
rnacentral:lncRNA from 1 species